rnacentral:rRNA from 1 species
UAGAGUUUGAUUAUGGCUCAGGAUGAACGCUAGCGGCAGGCUUAAUACAUGCAAGUCGAGGGGUAACAUGGGUAGCAAUACUGAUGACGACCGGCAAACGGGUGCGGAACACGUACGCAACUUUCCCAAAACUGGUGAAUAGCCCUCCGAAAGGAGGAUUAAUACACCGUAACAUAUAGAAGUGGCAUCACUUUUAUAUUAUAGCUCCGGCGGUUUUGGAUGGGCGUGCGCCUGAUUAGGUAGUUGGCGGGGUAACGGCCCACCAAGCCUACGAUCAGUAACUGGUGUGAGAGCACGACCAGUCACACGGGCACUGAGACACGGGCCCGACUCCUACGGGAGGCAGCAGUAAGGAAUAUUGGUCAAUGGACGAAAGUCUGAACCAGCCAUGCCGCGUGAAGGAUGAAGGCCCUCUGGGUUGUAAACUUCUUUUAUAGGGGACGAAAAAAGGGAAUUCUUUCCCACUUGACGGUACCCUAGGAAUAAGCACCGGCUAACUCCGUGCCAGCAGCCGCGGUAAUACGGAGGGUGCAAGCGUUAUCCGGAUUUACUGGGUUUAAAGGGUGCGUAGGUGGGCAGUUAAGUCAGUGGUGAAAUCUCCGAGCUUAACUCGGAAACUGCCGUUGAUACUAUCUGUCUUGAAUAUUCUGGAGGUAAGCGGAAUAUGUCAUGUAGCGGUGAAAUGCUUAGAUAUGACAUAGAACACCAAUUGCGAAGGCAGCUUGCUACGGGAUUAUUGACACUGAGGCACGAAAGCGUGGGGAUCAAACAGGAUUAGAUACCCUGGUAGUCCACGCCCUAAACGAUGGAUACUCGACAUCAGCGAUACACUGUUGGUGUCUGAGCGAAAGCAUUAAGUAUCCCACCUGGGAAGUACGACCGCAAGGUUGAAACUCAAAUGAAUUGACGG